GGUGAUAAAUUUGACUAAAAUAGCCGGCCCGGCCCGGCCCGGCCCAUUAUUAAAAAAGGUUGUGGAAUUUGGUAAUAGACAAUUAGCAGAAUCUUCGGGGUGCAUGUAAAGCAAAAGUGGGAGCAGUGUACGUGAUACGUGUCCCACAUCCAUGAGAAAACCCUCUGAUUCAUUUCAUUGGUAUCAACACCUCGCCACUGUGGAGUUUACUUUCAAGAUGAAAUCAAUAUCAUUGUUAGUGUUAACAAAAAAAAUACAUUUAUCAAGAUAAUGCUUACACCAUCGUAUCAUAUGUUGAUGUUAUAGCCCAGGUAAAAUCUCUUCGUAUUAUUCUUUUAUUUGCAUCAUCGUUAUUACUUAUUUUCGGUUCCGUAGAUUGAUUCGUUUUAAUUUUUAGUAUGAAUAGUAUAUUUUGAUCUUCGACUCGUAUCAGUCACUUUUGAUCUUUGGUCCAAGUAAGUUUGUUUUACUGGAGCAAAUUGGUGCAAAGUUGUCAUUAUCAGCAUUUCCUCAACUUCUAAGAGGUGAUUUGUCAAACAGAGGAAGGGCACACCAAAUAAAAUUCUGACGUGAUCAAUCGGUAGGAUCGAAAAGAGUUGACAAACAAGGUAUUGAUCCAAUUCCAUACUUUAAUUGGAGAAAAAGAAAUCCCACACUUUGACUGAUUGAUUGAUUAUUUAUUUAUAAAUUUCUUUAUGUUUUUGAAUUAGCAUAAUGUUUAAGAUAAGAUGAAUCUACUUCCUUUGCCGACUUUGUUCAUGUCCUAACACAAAGAGCCAGCGCCUCCCAAGACAGAUAAAUAAUUCAACGUAAGCGCGAAAAGUAGAAAACAAUGAUUUUAUAUAUACGAACUUGUGAUCCAGCGUAAAAAAAAAAUAAGGAAAUAAUGCAACAAUCAUUCAAUGAAGGAAAACCAAUGACUAUGAGGAAAAGAAGUCCAAAGGAGAUUUAUGUAUCUUAUUGCUAACUUGGUUGUUGAGAAUGAGGGCGGUACAACCACCCUAGUUGGAGGUAAAACAAACACGUAGAGCUUAGUUUUCUGGGUUGUGGGGCUCUCCCAAACAAAAAACGACAUUCCUUUUUCAUUUCCUAAUAAUGAUUUUCAAUUUGUAUGCUUACAAGAACAUGCAUCUCUCGCAUAAAUAAAUCAAAAUAGGAAAAUGUUUUUCUUUGUUUAACAACAUUGAUAAACUCUGAACAUCCAUUAUAAAUAACUAGAGCAGUUGUUUAUAAAAUUGAAUAAUCUGGUUUAAGAUUAAUGUUUCUUUAAAGUAGAGAAUUUAAGUCAUUCUUUGUUUUUUUUAUUUAAAACCAAUUGUAAGUAAUAUAAAAUCAGCGUCCACCUAUUAGUUUUUCACAUUAUUAUGAAUCCUAGGUUAUGUGUUUUGAAAUGAUUAUAACGAACCCUAGGUUAAGAUUGCUGUUAUUGGUACAUAAGGAGAAAACAUUAACCCUGUGUUUUGUAACACUAGUAUGGAUUUUAUAUAGUGAAAUAGGAUUGGUGGGGUUAGAAAGUGAUUACCUUAUUUAGCUGAGAGAGGUUGAUGCAGAAGGCAGAGAAAGCAGGGCAGGGAUGAAAAGCAAAAGGGGUUGGUGGAGUUGCUGAACUAUGUGUCUUCUUGUUUCUGCGUGUUGUGUGGUUACUCUCUUGCUAUUGCAUCCUAGAUCUAUAUAUUCAUGUUUCAAUGGAAAACUGGUAUUAUGGACAUUUGGAAUGGAACAAUGUUAUGUUAUUUAUUCGAUAACAUUUUAUAGCACAAAACUCUGUUUUCUUUCUUCAUCCCUCUCAUUCAUUGUUUAGUUGCUGUACCAAUUCUUAUGUAGGAAUAUCCUUAGAAUAAUAAAUGCGAGCUUGAAGGAGUUAGUGAGAUUCGUCCUUCAGUAACGAAUAUGCGUUGGCUAUACCCUCUUACCAAUUACAAUUUGGGCCGGUACUGGUAUAUGGGUCACUACAAUGCAUAGUUCGGCCCAUCUGAGUCUCCUUUUUUGAAUUGUGAAAUCCG
rnacentral:lncRNA from 1 species